AUGGCCAACAAUCUAAACCUUGCACUCCAAGCUUCAAACCCUGCCUUCAAGGACGACUUUUUGAAAUGGGGAUGCAAAGUUCCUGCUGUUCCAACAAACUCAUACGGGUACGAAUCUUGUCAAUACAUCACAAUCUUAAUUGAUUCCUUCAACUUGCAUGUAACAUUUCAUACAUGCAGUCCCCUGUCUGGUUAUUUGGUUUCCAAUUUAAUGCACUCAUGGCACGAUGGGAUGCUACAUUUUCCAGUACCCAAGGUAACUAUUGACACCAUGCUCAUUUCUACACACAUUACACAUGUUUUUUAA
rnacentral:rRNA from 1 species